CAUAACGCCGGGAUCACGCCCUGAGCCGAAGGCAGAUGCUUAACCGCUGUGCCACCCAGGCGCCCCCCAGUGGCCAGUUUCUAGCAGACGUGAUUGACUUUGUCCAUGCGGCGUUUUCUGGAGUAAACUUAAAUGCUGGGCGGCUCUUACCAGCAGAGCGUACACAAGAAGGUACCCUCAGCCCUAGUAGAAACGGAUGCAGACAAAGAAGUGAAUAACCUCGACAACAGACCACCCACCACGGAGACGGUGCUGUGACACCCAGGAGGGCGCUGUCGCGUUACUGGCUCGAGAAGGGCGAUGGAGCCGCGCGUGUCACGGACCAGCCAGGCAGGACGUGGACAGAGCAGGGCCAGCGCCGCUGUUGUCCAGGGGAGCCACCGGGGCCCAGGCCGCUCGGGGACACGGUUAUCUGGCAGCAAUCAGAGCAGAUGCAGUCAUCACGUCAGGCCCCCGCCCCCCUCUCCCGGACAAUGGCUGAAUGAAUAGGCUUGGGGGGAGGAUCCCAGCAGAUCCCUCCUGUCCCCAGAACUCUCAAGUUCAUUACGGAAAACACCAGCCUGACUGUGGCAAGUGCUGGGAAGGACAAGAGCCCCACCGACAAGGCCCUGUCGCUCGUCAAAGGCUCCCCUCUGUCUCUGUCUUCUGUGCCCUGUCAAAGAACUGUCAGCAGUUCUUAAAGCCAAAAAUCACAGCUCAGAAAUCAAAUCUGUUUGCAGGGAGAAUAGCAGCUUGUGUUCGGGGGGCUGUUGGCAGGACGCGGCCGGCCAGGCUGAUCCAUGGUCAGCACGUUUACCCACAUUCCAUCAGGUAACUCAGGGGUGAGUUCUGCCUUUCCCCUUCUGGCUGGUUUGGCAUCACAGAGGUAAACCCGGUCAUGUUUUCAGAAGGAUCAUCGAAGAUAAUCCUAAAUGGAGGCAGCGGCUCACAGUCAGGAAAGCAAAGCCAGUCUGGGAUGUUCAGGGAAUACAAG